UACGUAGGGCGCAAGCGUUGUCCGGAAUUAUUGGGCGUAAAGAGCUCGUAGGCGGUCUGUCGCGUCGGCUGUGAAAACCCGGAGCUCAACUCCGGGCCUGCAGUCGAUACGGGCAGACUGGAGUUCGGCAGGGGAGACUGGAAUUCCUGGUGUAGCGGUGAAAUGCGCAGAUAUCAGGAGGAACACCGGUGGCGAAGGCGGGUCUCUGGGCCGAUACUGACGCUGAGGAGCGAAAGCGUGGGGAGGCGAACAGGA
rnacentral:rRNA from 1 species